AGAAGUGACACAAAAAAAAUGCCACUCAUCUUAAACUUCACCAUUUCAUGAUUCAGAUUUAUUAUACCAAGAAAUAAGAAUCAUGUUAAUGGAACAUUAUCUUUGAGUAAAGUUACGAUUUUUUUAUCCCUGUGAUAACCAAUAAUUGCGAACGGCAGGUUUGAAGAAACGAACAACCAAGAAAUGAAAAGUGGUAGUUUUCCUAACACUUUAGAGAAAAAAAAUUCUAGAUUUUUAUCAAACAUCCUGAGACACAUUGCACCCGACAUGCGACCUGGAAUAUAGAGCGCAAUAGAGAAAAUUAAUUUCAAUUAAUAUCUUAAUCUUUCUCAUUUUGUAACUCUGCGUAAAGAACAGAAAAUCAUUUUCUUUUAAUUUCACACAAAUAAAAUAAAUUAAUAUCUGAUGAUUAUAUCAUAUUUGGACACUAAAGUAUAAUCUCUAAUAUGGUUAACCCUAUUUUUUAAAACACAGUUACUUGGGGGCUUUUGGAGUAGCUAAAUAUAAAUCUGAGGUCAGUUUUCGAAAAUUCAAAAUGGCGGAUACAAGAUGGCAGACAUAAAAAAAUUAAAAAUCGGCUUUAAAUAAUUAUAAUAUAAUAUAUUAUUAUAUAAUGUAAUAAAAAUAAAUAAUUAUAAUUACAUUUUCUUGAAAAAAUUAAUACAAAUGCGCAAAUUUAAACAUUUAAAUGUUAGCUUGUAAUAACAAGUUUAAAAGCAGUAUUAUCUUAAAAAAUGAUUAAAAUUUAUAAUUUACUAACAACAUAUUCCUCGUUCGCUAACACUCGCUCGGUUGUAGGUAGUUAUCAUAUUAUAGAUAAGUAUUUACUGCAGGUGAUAAAUGUAUAUAUUUUCUUAUAUAAAUUUAUUAUUAUACUAAUAUAAAAUUAUUAUUUAUCUUUAUAUUAUUUAAUUAUUAAAAGUGACAUUUUUUAAAUUAAAUUAGGUACUAAUAUACAUUUAAUGGUUUAUAAAUGCAGAACCUUUCUCAAUUUUAUUUAUAUUUCCAAAUAAAUGUUUAUUUAUAAAAUAUUGUACUUUCUACGUAGUUAAAAUUCUUAGAAUAAAUUAUUGAUAAAAAUUGAGUAUUUGUUUCUUCAUUUUCCUUCUGUUUUAAGAUUAGUGAUAGAUAGCAACUUUUAAAUAUAAUAUAUAUUUAAGAAACCUGUUAUUCAGUUUUAAAAAAAGAUAACUCUUGAAUAUUAAACAAAGAUAAUGCAAGUAAAUAAACAAUUGUCAGCUUUUUGCGACUAUAUAAACCGUGAUACAUUUUUAUUAAACGUAAAUUACAAAAGCUUUGUUUCAAAGAAGACAAUCGACCUGAGUAUUAAUAAGAAAAGAUGAAGCUUUACACUGUUUUGCUAGUGUGCGUUACAGUUUGCAUCUUGAGUGUCAAUGGGCAAUGUGGAAAUGCAAAUCAAGGUUGUAAUUUCAGAAGUCCUUGCUGUCCUUUUCUCAAUUGCGUUGGUGGAAUAUGCAGAUAAGGUGGUUAAUCUGAUGAAAAUUUUAAAUCUAUGUAACAAUAUUUGAUGUGAACUAAAAUUGGAUAAAUUUUUUUCUCUUUAAAUUUCUACUUUAUUGUAAUAAAGUAAUAAAUUAUAUAUAUUCAUAUAUAAGAGGGCUUCGCUUCAUUCUCUUGAAAAUUUAUAUGGAAAACUCAUCUAAUUUCCCAUAAGGGUUCAUAUAAGUACCUACAGAGGGUCCUAUGUGGUGUUAACUUGGGUUCCCAUAUAUAUAUAUAUAUUCCUAUUGAACUACUAUCUACCGAUGGUUAAUAAAAUGGAGUACAGAAUCGCAUCGUAUACUUUAGUAUAUUGAAAGGUAUUAUUUGCAAAAUAAAAGGACAAUCAAUCAAACCUCUAA